UACGAGUGCCCCAAGCGUUAUCCGGAAUCAUUGGGCGUAAAGGGUGUGUAGGUGGCGAUGUUAGUCUUCUGUUAAAACCCCGGGCUUAACCCGGGAUCUGCAGAGGAAACGGCAUUGCUUGAGGGUGCGAGGGGUGAAUGGAACUCAUGGAGUAGGGGUGAAAUCCGUUGAUAUCAUGGGGAACACCAAAAGCGAAGGCAAUUCACUGGCGCAUUCCUGACACUGAAACACGAAAGCGUGGGUAGCGAACGGG
rnacentral:rRNA from 1 species